rnacentral:rRNA from 1 species
GACGAACGCUGGCGGCGUGCUUAACACAUGCAAGUCGAACGGAAAGGCCCUGCUUUUGUGGGGUGCUCGAGUGGCGAACGGGUGAGUAACACGUGAGUAACCUGCCCUUGACUUUGGGAUAACUUCAGGAAACUGGGGCUAAUACCGGAUAGGAGCUCCUGCUGCAUGGUGGGGGUUGGAAAGUUUCGGCGGUUGGGGAUGGACUCGCGGCUUAUCAGCUUGUUGGUGGGGUAGUGGCUUACCAAGGCUUUGACGGGUAGCCGGCCGGAGAGGGUGACCGGCCAAGUGGGAAGCGGGAUGCGGCCCGGGCGCAUAGGGGGGGGAGGGGGGGGGAAUUUCGCAAAAAGGGGGGAAGGGUGAUGAAGGACCGCGGGUGGGGGGAUGCGGGCCUUCGGGUUGAAAACCCAUUGCGCCGGGAACGAAGGGGGGGGAAGGGAAAGGGGAAAAAAAGCACGGGUAAAUAAGGU